AUCGCUGGGACAAGUUAAGUACUACUCCCUCCGUCCGAGAAAAGUUGUCUCCGACGAACACCUCCCCUUUCUUCCAACAAACUACGCAGCCCUCACUCCGACCGCUUCCCUGCUCCGUCGCCUGGCCACGCGCCGGCCGCCUGCUCUAUUGCGUCGCCGCCUGCUCCAUCGCCUCGCCACGCACCGGACGCCUUCUCCCCGUCGUCUCGCCGCUUCUCUUCGUCCGCACCAGGAAAUCAAGAGGGAAGCGAUCCCCUUUUCUGCAAAUCCCGCGACUUGCCGGCUCCGGCGGCGGCGCUUAUGUCCUGGAGGCAGGUCCUCGAGCUCCUCCUCCCGACCCCGAGCUCCUCGUCCUCGAGCUGCUGCAGAAGUUAACGACAGUUGCUCCUCCUCCAGCGAUUGGAGGUGGACUUGGUGCAGAAGAAUGGAUCUUGCUUCCGUUGAUCUCAGGUGAGCUAAAGAUGCUGCUUCCAUGGAACAUACAGUAUGCUUGACUGUAUAACUGUAAAGAAUUUUGGAGUAUAUUUUGUGUGCUGAUCAUUUUGUGUUCUGUUGCAAUAAGAUCAAAGUGUACAGUACUGAGCAUUUUGUGUUCUGUUCUGUUGAAUGUGCAGCUACUCUGAACAUACAGUACUGAGCAUUUUGUGUAGAAAUUUCUUUCUUGCUUACGUAAGAUGAUCUGCAUUACAUUUCCUAAAAUAUCUCUAUGCACUCAAACCAAAAGGAGUACUAUCAGUGCUCUAAUUGGGUCUACUAACCGUGAAAUCCUACCGAAACUGUAACACUAAUUCAUAGAGGGCAUGGAUAAGGAUAUGCAUCUGGUAGCUCAUAGAAUAUGACUAGCCAGGGAUGAAAUUACACUAGGUGCGUUCAAUCAAAAUCAAUCUAUUGGUUGGCUUACUACAGGACUAGAAAACUAGAACCUGGCAUGGCUACGUAAUGUAGGAGAUCUUUCUUGUUGUGGCCAAAAGAAAAUGGAUGGAUCUACGUAAUGUAGGAGGAGGAUCAUGUUUUCAGUGCCUUAGUACACAAAAGUAGGCAAAGUUUCUAUAACAAUAUACUUAAAUGCAAGGAAAAAAUAAGCAGCAAGUUUAUUCAGUUAAGGACGGAAUUAUUUUGAUCAAGUAAUUACUGUGACAAUAUUGCAACAUUUCUUCAGAGUACAUGAUCAGUUUUGCCCCUUUUCAGUAAAGGGGUGCAACAACUUUCUGGGAUUUCUGAAACUAUAGUCACUGGGACAAUAUAUAGUCACCUGGGAGUCACCUGGGAUUUCUGAAACUAUACUGUCACUUGGACAAUUCAAAACAGUUAACUGAUAGUGUCUAAAACAGUUAAGUGUUUCUGGGAUUUCUUUUUUCUUCAGUAAGACAUGAUUUCUUUUUUCUUCUUCUUUUUUCUCUAGUGUGCCAUCCCUUUUUUUAGACUAAAAGUGAAUCAGAGCAAAAGUCUUCCGUGUCAGUUUGCUAGAAAUAAUAGAAGAAGAAGUUACAAAUUUUCAAUUACAUUCAUAACACUUUGCUCUAACUAAUUUUUUUGCUCUCAGUUUAAGUUGAAGAUUUGACCUGGAAUGACCAGUCUCAGUUUAAGUAACAUAUUCUAGUAAUGCGACAAGCACAUCUGUACUGCUCUCAGUUUAAGUUACAGAUCACAUUCACAACACUUAGUUUGGAAAACUUCAAAGCAUCAAUAUCUAUUCCUGCUACCCCUGGUCUUGAUCCAACCAUUGCAAACUCAGGUAAAGUACCCUGCCCCUGCUCCUUCACAUGCUUCUAUCAGUGGUUAUCUAACUGAAUUUUCACAUGCUUCUAUCAGUGGAAAACUUAUAUUGUUUGCUAACAUUUUAUAAACAAAACACAUGGAAGCAACUCUAUAUAUGAUCCAUUUUGAGUAAUUAAUUUGGUACUCGAUUUGCUGUUGAAUUCUGCAAGUCCUUCAGUCUAAGCCUAUGAGUAACACUGCUUGUUCACUAAUUCAGUUUACUGUACAAUUUACUCUACAAACUGAAUAUUGUAUGUGUGUGUGUGUGUGUGUGUGUGUGUGUGUGUGUGUGUGUGUGCACGCUCAUCAAAUUGCAGACUAGAUGAUCGGUUGCUACUCUAAUUCACCUCAAUUUGACAUCAAUUUGAUCUGCACAACAAAUUAACAUCAAUUUGACACUGAUUUCAGAGGCGGCGAGGAGGAGCUGGGUCGCCUGGACGAAGAAGAAGAAGAAGAAGAAAUCGGCGAGGAGGAGCAGGUGGGCGCCUCUGUAGAAGGUGGGCGGCGGCGCUGGGCCCUACGGUGGAGGCACUGGUCACCUCGGUGCACGGCGGUGGAGCAGCGGCGGCCGGGGUCUUGCCCAACUCCCGCAACAGAGUGGCUGGCCUUGGCGCGCCGGGGUUGCGACCGGGGAUGUGAGAAGGACGACGAGUAAAGCUGACCGUGAUCCGUGGAAUCGCCGCUCGUCGAGGUGUCGCCGCGGAGGAGCAGCUGGGCGGCGGCGAAGCUCGCCUCCGCAGCGCAGCUAAGCAGGGCGGCGCAAGAUGGCAGCUGCGGGGCAGGUGGGCGGCGGCGCAAGUGGGACUUCGUCGCUGGCUGAUCCUACGGCGGCUGGGGCACGCGGUGCCCGUGGGCGACAGGGGGAGGCGGAGGCUGGGGCGCGCGCGGUGCCUACGGGCGUCGGGGGAGGAAGAAGGGCUGAUUAGCACGAGAUUUAAAGUGAAAAGGGGUUUUCUGCAAAAUUACAGUUGAACUAUGCUGGUGACAACUUUUUCGGGACGGAGGGAGUACCUUUGAUCCAAAUUUCAAUUCUUUUUUUUAGUAAACGGCAGGAGCACUCCCUUUUCUAUUUUUUGAAGAUAAAAAAGGUUUUUUUAAUGAAAGGUAGAUGAGGCUCUACCUUAUAUAUUUCAAAACAGGCCUAGGCCUGGGACCAGGGGUCGAUUACAUGAA